rnacentral:rRNA from 1 species
AACGUACCCUUUGGUUCGGGACAACUCUGGGAAACUGGAGCUAAUACCGGAUACGCCCUUUUGGGGAAAGGUUUACUGCCGAAGGAUCGGCCCGCGUCUGAUUAGCUAGUUGGUGGGGUAACGGCCUACCAAGGCGACGAUCAGUAGCUGGUCUGAGAGGAUGAUCAGCCACACUGGGACUGAGACACGGCCCAGACUCCUACGGGAGGCAGCAGUGGGGAAUAUUGGACAAUGGGCGCAAGCCUGAUCCAGCCAUGCCGCGUGAGUGGUGAAGGCCUUAGGGUUGUAAAGCUCUUUUAUCCGGGACGAUAAUGACGGUACCGGAGGAAUAAGCCCCGGCUAACUUCGUGCCAGCAGCCGCGGUAAUACGAAGGGGGCUAGCGUUGCUCGGAAUCACUGGGCGUAAAGGGCGCGUAGGCGGCGUUUUAAGUCGGGGGUGAAAGCCUGUGGCUCAACCACAGAAUGGCCUUCGAUACUGGGACGCUUGAGUCUGGUAGAGGUUGGUGGAACUGCGAGUGUAGAGGUGAAAUUCGUAGAUAUUCGCAAGAACACCGGUGGCGAAGGCGGCCAACUGGACCGGCACUGACGCUGAGGC